rnacentral:rRNA from 1 species
UACGAACCGUGCAAACGUUGUUCGGAAUCACUGGGCUUAAAGGGCGCGUAGGCGGGCAAGCAAGUCGAAGGUGAAAUCCCACGGCUCAACCGUGGAAGUGCCCCCGAUACUGCUUGUCUUGAGGGAGAUAGGGGCGUGCGGAACUUCCGGUGGAGCGGUGAAAUGCGUAGAUAUCGGAAGGAACACCGGUGGCGAAAGCGGCGCGCUGGAUCUCUUCUGACGCUGAGGCGCGAAAGCGUGGGGAGCGAACAGG